GGACCCCACUGCUAUCGGGAUGGGACUAAGACAUGCUAGUCGAGCGUCUCCAAGCUAUGGAAGAGACGCGGCACACAGUUCAGUAACACGUGGCUAACCUGCCCUUGGGACAAGGACAACCCCGGGAAACUGGGGCUAAUCCCUGAUAAGUGAGAACUCCUGGAAUGGAUUCUCGCUCAAAGGACGUUUAGACCAUGCUUCUAAGCGUCGCCCAAGGAGGGGGCCGCGACCGAUCAGGUUGUUGGUGAGGUAACGGCUCACCAAGCCUUUAACCGGUACGGGCCGUGAGAGCGGAAGCCCGGAGAUGGGCACUGAGACAAGGGCCCAGGCCCUACGGGGCGCAGCAGUCGCGAAAACUCCGCAAUACACGAAAGUGUGACGGGGCUAUCCCGAGUGCCAUCCGCUGAGAAUGGCUUUUCCCCAGUGUAUAAAGCUGGGGGAAUAAGAAGAGGGCAAGACUGGUGUCAGCCGCCGCGGUAAUAUCAGCUCUCCGAGUGGUGGGGAUGCUUAUUGGGCCUAAAGCAUUCGUAGCCGGUUCGGCAAGUCCUCCGUUAAAUCCAGCGAUUCAAUCGUUGGACUGCGGGGGAUACUGCUGGGCUAGGGGGCGGGAGAGGCCGACGGUAUCCUCGGGGUAGGGGUGAAAUCCUAUAAUCCCGGGUAGACCACCAGUGGCGAAGGCUGUCGGCUAGAACGCGCCCGACGGUGAGGGAUGAAAGCUGGGGGAGCGAACCGGAUUAGAUACCCGGGUAGUCCCAGCUGUAGACGAUGCAGGCUAGGUGUUGGAGCGGCUACGAGCCGCUUCGGUGCCGCAGGGAAACCGUUAAGCCUGCCGCCUGGGGAGUACGGCCGCAAGGCUGAAACUUAA
rnacentral:rRNA from 1 species